AAGCUCCCAGAGCCCUUGCACAGAAAAAGAAGCAUUUGCUCUGUGCAGCUAAGAAUCCAGCUUUUAAUUCUAUCUUUUCUUGUGUUUACAUAAACUUUCGUUUGCAUUUCAGAAGCCUUAUGGAAAGAUUCCUGUGGCUGACCCAGGAGUAGUGGUGAAUUUCUCCAUCAAGUGAGUAUUGAUGAGCUGCAAAGUUCAGUGAACAGGAAAAUUCUGCUCCUUUUAUUGCCAAUGUGACAGGUUACUUUAUUACCAUGCCUUUCACAGCAAUUUAACAGUUACCCUGGUAACGGAUUCAGUGAGGUAAUGGGAUCACAGGCAUUGGAGCGGAGGCAGGCUGGCCGCUCGGCGCAGCCAUCUGCUGGCUGCUGUUCCGGAGGCUGUCUGCCUGGAGGAGCCCUGACAGUCACGGGGCCUGCAUGGCAAUGAGCAGGUGAAACCGCAGGCCUGCCCUAUUUAGCUGUACUCUGGUGAUUUGUCUUUCUAAUUCUAUUGAAAUAAUCAUCAGGAUUUGUUUCUGAUUAAUUAACUAACCUUUUGGUAAAAAGAUUAGAUAACGAAAUUGCUGCCUAUUCAGAGAUAAUGAGAUUUUUAUUACUCUGUCAAAGGAAAAAAAGUACAUUUAUGUGUCACCAGCCGCUGUGUCAAGAGGAAAAAAAAAAAGAGAGAUUUCAGUCUUUGUCGAAUGUGUAUAUUCCUCAACAGACGAAGGGUGUGCUUAAUUCUGUAGGAACUCCCCAGCCUCGUUUGACGCCUUUAGGAAGAGUUUUUAAAACAGCAAACAAAGUAAUAAACACAUUUAGGCCAAUAGGCUUUUGGGGAGGGUGCUAAUUUGUUUUAAAAUGUCUCCUAAUGGGAGAGAAACGCUUGGGAGUCUGGGGAACUUGCCUGUACUGUGUGGGUGUAUUUAUGUAAGUGUGAGAGUGUGAAGAAAGCAGUAAAAUCUCCGUGCGAGGCUUUAAAAUGACAUAUGUAGACAGGCUGCUUUUCCUCCGCACUACAGAUAUGUCUUCGACUUGCAGUACAUUUGUCUUCUGGCAGGAGCUGCACUCGGGCAAUGGGAAGGGGAAAUCAUCCGAGCUUAGCAGGCUGGGAGGUCACCUGUGACUGUCACAGGUAGGCUGCCUUAGGAAAUGAAUUAUUCUGACUGGCGGUGAGUAAAAAGGGAAGCAGCCCUUCUCCUGUUUCACUCCAAGACACGCAGCCAGUCAAUUUAACCUUUUCUCUUAAGAAGUCACAGCUCAAUCCUUUGUUAAGGGGGACUUUCAUUUUCUCACUCCUCUGUGCCUUCUUCAAUGCUGUGAUGCCAAGAAAAAAAAAAAAAUACCAACCCCGGGAAAAGCGCUUCCCUUGGAUAAAGAGAUGCCAAAUGCGCCAAAUAGGCUGUGUGAGCCAGGCAGCAUUGGAGGGAACAAAGCGCAGUAUAUUUCCAAAUAAAACUUCAAAGAGCUACAAUAUUGUUUUAAUUACUAAAACCUGAGGAGGAAACACAGUGCAUGUCUCUUCCUUCAAUGCAAUGAAACGGAGGAGUGGGAGAAAGGGCCAAGUGGCAGGCUGGGACCCAGCUGAGCAUUUUGUGAAAGUGUAUUUGUGUCACUGUCUUUUCAGAGUCAAUGAGACACUUAUGUUUCUUGUGAUAUCCUGUGGCCUUGGCUGCCUCCGUUUGUGUGUGUAUGAAAAUGAAAAGAUUUCAAGUUCUAAAAAUGGAAGUUUCUAUUCUGAAUUUCGUAUGGUUCACAGACAAGUUGCAACAGACCAAAGGAAAAAAAAAAAAGAAAGAAUGUGCAGGGGAUCAAAUGUGAACAUUCCAGAGCCCACUUUCCUGUCCUGCCUGGCGUUCCCACUCUCCUUCCCCUCUUUAUUCCAGUUCCUCCUGCACCUCCAAUUGCCAGCUAACAGGCUCCAUUCCUGAUAACAGAUGCUUGACAAAGAAAGAGAAAUAAGACAUUAAAAAAGAGUAGACUGCUGCUGGGGGUGGGGAUUUGAUAGCACAUUGCCAAUGGCUUUUUACAGGAACUUGCUCUCCCUGGCUCACUACCAAGACAGGGAAAGAACAGGGCGGGGGAGGGAGCCUUUGUCCUCAAACUCCCAGUGAAAUAUAGGGUUAAUAUUAGCAAUUAUUAUUAAAAUUAGCCAAAUGUUAUUAAAUGAUCUUUGUAUAGAAGAAUAAGUAUAGUUUUCCCUUUGGCAGACAAUGACAUCUGCAGCUCUACAUUUUCAUGAA
rnacentral:lncRNA from 1 species